rnacentral:lncRNA from 1 species
UGGAUUCAUACUUAUAAUUCAACAAGAAUCUAGGCUGUGUGGAUCCACUCAUGGGGCAAUUCAAGAGCUACAAGAUUCUGACUGUGGGGUUGGUCUUUUUGGUUUUGGUGCUCUGCUUCAUGAUGCCUUGGCCUGAGCCCAUGAUCCAUUGGCUCCCACAACCCAGCACUGUCCCUGAGUUUGUCUCAGAAUCCAUCGACUGGGACUCUCUGCCUCAAGAAUUCCCCAACCUGACCAGCCUUCUCUAUUGGCCUCCAACUGGUGAAGACAGGGAUGAUUUUUUGGCCUCUACCAGCCCCAGAACAUCCACAUACUGCUUGAAGGGUCCGGCCCACACCACCUUUACUCUGGGAAGUAACCUAGAAGCCAUCCUUGUGGCUAGGGAUCACCGAGGAAGAGCUAAAGUUCACGGNGCUGCUGGGCCCAGAAUUGAGAGCAGGAGUCCCAGGGGAGGUGAAGGAUCUGGAGAAUGGCACUUACCUCUUGUCCUUCCCCCUGCUCUGGGCUCUCUGUAUAGCUCUGGCUGUCCUGGAACUCACUUUGUAGACCAGGCUGGCCUCAAAAUCAGAAAUCCACCUGCCUCUGCCUCCCAAGUGCUGGGAUUAAACGCAUAUCAUUGUUCUU